rnacentral:rRNA from 1 species
UACGUAGGGGGCAAGCGUUGUCCGGAAUCAUUGGGCGUAAAGAGCGUGUAGGCGGUCCGGUCAGUCGGUUGUGAAAGUCAAGGGCUCAACCCUUGAAUGCCGGCCGAUACUGCCGGGCUAGAGUCCGGAAGAGGUGAGUGGAAUUCCUGGUGUAGCGGUGAAAUGCGCAGAUAUCAGGAGGAACACCGAUGGCGAAGGCGGGUCUCUGGACAGUUCCUGACGCUGAGGCACGAAGGCCAGGGGAGCAAACGGG